rnacentral:rRNA from 1 species
AUGUGAUCGUCUCUCGCAUAUCAAUAAGCGGAGGAAAAGAAACUAACAAGGAUUCCCCUAGUAACGGCGAGUGAAGCGGGAAGAGCUCAAAUUUGAAAUCUUAAAGGGUUUCCCUUUACGAAUUGUAGUUUAAAGAAGUGUUUUCUGUUGAGGUUUUGGUAAAAGUUCUUUGGAAUAGGACAUCAUAGAGGGUGAGAAUCCCGUAUUUGACCUUUACUUUCAACUUUGUGAUACACUUUCAAAGAGUCGGAUUGUUUGGGAAUGCAGUCCAAAAGGGUGGUAAAUUUCAUCUAAAGCUAAAUAUUGGCGAGAGACCGAUAGCGAACAAGUACCGUGAGGGAAAGAUGAAAAGAACUUUGAAAAGAGAGUUAAACAGUACGUGAAAUUGUCAAAAGGGAAGCGUUUGACACCAGUGUUGUUUUUCUGAAAAUCAAUUAAAGAACUGUUUAUGCUAAGCUGUUUAGACUUUAUCAGCUAAUCUGUUUAGUUUUGAGCUUUUCUUUAAUGCACUUUUCAGUUAACAAGUCAACAUCAAUUUCUUUUGCUGUAAAAAAGCUUGAGGAAGGUGGCUUGAGAUUCGUCUUAAGUGUUUAUAGCCUCUUGCCUAUGCAGUCGGAGAGAUUGAGGUCUGCAGCGUAGAUCCUUCGGGGCUAAAUGCAUUUGUGCUAAGUUAUAGCAUUUUAUAGACAACUUGUUGACUAUGAUUUGUCUUGUAGCUUACUCGCUUAUGUUAUUUUACCUACGCUUAGGAUGUUGAGCGCAUGUCUCUCUCU